CUGUCCUUCUCCUCUAGCGACCCAGGGCCAAAACCGAGAUUAUUUCUCCAAAUUUCCCUAUAUUUCAAGGACAAAAACAUCCAUCCUGACCAGGUGCCAAUGGCCAAAACUGGGAUUCCACCUCUAAAACUCCAUACAGCCAAGGAUUGCUCCCCAUUAAAAGCAGCCAGGACAGACAGGUCUGGCUGCCCUUGGCCUCUUGGGGGCUGCCUCUCACCUGCCACUGGGGCUUGAUGCUUUCCUUCCUAUGGAUACUGUCCUUCUUCUCAAGAGGAUCAUUGUGGUCAAAACUGAGAUUCCUCCUCCCAUAUUCCUUAUAUCCAAGGAUUCCUCCAUGACAAAAGCUGCCAGGACAAACAGGUCUGGCUGGCUCAGCCUCCCAGGAACCCCAUCUCUCAUCUUUUACUUUUGAAACACUUGGGUUCAGUGCUUUCCUUGCUAUGGAAAAGAACCAUCCUUCUUAUCCACACAGAAAUAGCCGAAAUUGGGGUUCCACCUCCCAAAUUCCCUACAUCCAAGGGUUGCUUUCAGACAAAAGCUACCAGGACAGGGAGGUCUGGCUGGCCUUGGCCUCUGGUGGCCGCCUUUCAUCUGCCCCUCAAACACCAGUGUUCUGUGCUUUCCUUCCUUGGAAAAGAACCAUCCUUCUCCUCUGGGUGCCCAUGUCUGAAAUUGGGAUUCCACCUCUAAAAUUCCCUAUAUCCAACGGUUGCUCCCAGCCAAAAUCUGCCAGUACCGUCAAAUCUGGCUGGCAUUGGCCUCUGGUGGCUGCCCCUGCCACACUGGGGCUCGGUUCUUUCCUUCCCAUGGAGAUCCCUGUGACACUGUGGGGACCUCAUGGAACCAAGGGGAUCAUUGUGGCACCACUGGAGCCCAUGGAACCAAGGGGCCAUGGUGACACAGCAGGGCUUCAUGGACCCAGAGACCAUCAUGACUCUGUGGGGCUGAUGGAACCUUCAGGGCCUCGUGUCACCAAGGGGGCAUUGUGACACCUCAGGGCCUCCUGGAAGCAAGGGACCAUUGGGACACUGUGGGGUCCCAUGGAACCGAGGGCACAUGGAACAGGUCUGGCUGGCUUGGCCUCCCAGGGGCCACCUGACAGGUCUGGCUGAUCUUGGAAUACCAAGGGCUGCCUCUCAUCAGCUCCUGCAGCACUGGGGCUCCGUGCUUUCCUUGCUAUGGAAAAGAACUGUCCCUCUUUUCAGAUGCCCAUUGCUAAAAUUGGUACCCUCCCUAAAAAAAUUCCUAUUUUUAAGGGUAUCUCUCAGAACAAAAUCUGCCAGCUCUGGCCAGCCUUGUCCUCUGGUGGUCACCACUCAUCUGCCCCUGAAACACUGGGGCUCUGUUCAUUCCUUGCUAUGGCAAAGACCUGGCUUUCAAGUCCAGGGACCAUGGCCAAAAUUAAAAUUUGACCUACCAAAUUCCAUAUAUCCACUGAUUGUUCCCAGACAAAAGUAGUCAGGACAGACAGGUCAGGCUGGCCCUGUCCUCUGGUGAUUUUCAAUGAGCUGAAAGUUUUCAUUUGAAAACACCUUGGGGAGGGCCCAGAGAUCUCCCAAGGUGGGAUUUUGAGGCCUCAGGCACAUGACAACUACAUACGGACAAAGGAGCUCUGUGCUCUGUGCUGUUGUGGUGGUUUUGCAUCACACAAGUGAUGUCCUGAGAGAAGCUGCUAGCAGUUUCCUCCGUGUCUGACAAAAAACAAUCAGUAAUUAGCUUUGAGAAUUAACAGUCUGUUAAACCACUAAGGAAACUGCACACGCCUCUGUGAAGACACAAGUUAAAGAGGAAGGAGUCUGGCUGGGUCUCUUUCCCUUCUGGCCAGCAAAGAGGUGCCAAGGCCGGGCCAGCCCCCGUCUGGGCCGGGGCGGGCCGGGCGGCUCCUGCCGUGGGGCCGGGCCCCUUCCCAGGGAGCCCGCCAGGCCCCAUCGGCUGCCGGGCAGGGGAGGGGAGGCCGCGGGGCCGAGGCCGGGCCGGGCCGUGGCUGCGCUUGCUGACAUCUGGCCGCUGCCGAGCCCUGCCCCGCCGCCAGCCCGGGCCCAGCCAGGAUCCGCCAGGCCCCAGGAGCAGCCCCGGGCCGGGCCGGCUGGGCCAAGCUUCUGCCGCCCUUGGGCUUGGCCCGCAACCAGCGGGCAGGGCCAGGAGAAGCCAUCGGCCCCGGCCGUGCUGCUGCUCUGCUCUGGCCUGGCUGCUGAGAUCCUGGCCCUGCCCCCAACGCUGCCCAGCCUGACACAGCCCCAACGCAGCCGCUGCACAAACCUCCAAGCUUUGCAGAAGGAUGGAAUUGAUACAUCAGACUCUCUUUUUCCCUAUAAUGCACUGAAAAGUAUAGGGAGAUGACUUGUUCAGCAAAGGCCUCCAUGCUAAAGUAAGCAAAUGUUGAAGUUGCUGUGAUCCCAUGAGAAGUUUGAACAGAGAUAGAGAGAAGAGUGAUGAGACCGUGUGCCCUCAGGGAGAGAAGAAGAAGACCUCUGUUCCCAGAGAUGAAGAUGAUUUCAGAAAUAGAUGAAGAAAACCUUUGCUCUUAAACAGCUCAUCUUUAAAGCAACACCCCAUAAGUUGGCAUGGCCCAUAAAUACAUCUGUGGGAAAAGCUGUGAAAAAAUAGGAGGGACUUCACAAUUGCAGAUUUUUUCAGGCAGCUGCUACUGGAGGAACUGAAAAGCCAUGCGAGAACUGUUUUCUUGUGGAGAAAUUGCCAUAAUAUUAACAAGAGGAACUUCUCUCCCUAAGUCAAGUGAAGAAAGACUAUUCUAGUGGUGGCAAACUGACAGGCUUUCUCUCUUUACAUUGUCAGGUUGUAUGGAGAGAGGAAGUGUUCUGAAAGUUUUGUUCCGAUUCUUAUUACUCUUUCUUUUAGUUACUAUUAUAAACAUUUUUAAAGUUUUGAGCCUA